rnacentral:rRNA from 1 species
AUGGAGCCGCGCUCAGCCCCAAAGUGCAUAGCCUUCUUCUUCCUCCCUCUCCUCGCCUGCGUGCAUUACGCUCAGGCACACCCUGGUCGUCCCUCCAUCGACUCCAUCUUCAGCUUCGGCAACUCGUACGCCGACACCGGCAACUUUGUGAAGCUCGCCGCCCCGGUGUUCCCGGUCAUCCCCUUCAACAACCUCCCCUACGGCGAGACCUUCUUCGGUCGCCCCACCGGCCGAGCCUCCAAUGGCCGCAUCACCAUGGACUUCAUCGCCAGUGAGUUCGGGCUCCCUUUCGUCCCCCCGAUUCUCGGCAAAGAGCGUAACUUCACCCGUGGAGCAAACUUCGCCGUCGUCGGCGCCACGGCGCUGGAUCUCGCCUACUACCUGGAGAACAACAUCACGAGCGUGCCCCCUUUCAACAGCUCCUUGAGCGUGCAGCUCGACUGGUUCCGGCAGCUAAAGCCCACUUUGUGCUCAACGCCACGAGCAUGCAGGAACUACUUCAAGAGAUCGCUCUUCUUCAUGGGAGAGUUCGGAGGGAACGACUACACCUUCCUCAUGGCCGCCGGGAAAACCUUCGGCGAGGUCGCGCCGUACGUUCCAAAGGUCGUGCGAUCCAUCUCAGCAGGCGUCGAGGCGGUGCUCAAGGAGGGAGCGAGGUACGUGGUGGUGCCGGGGCAGCUGCCGACGGGGUGCAUCCCCAUCGUACUGACGCUGUACGCGAGCCCCAACAAGCGGCACUACGACCGCCGGACCGGGUGCCUGAGGAAGUACAACGCGCUCGCGCGCUACCACAACGGGGUGCUGUUCGAGGCCGUGUACCGGCUCCGGAUCAAGUACCCCGCCGCCAAGAUCGUCUACGCCGACUACUACGCGCCGCUCAUCGACUUCCUCAAGAAACCGAAAAAAUUCGGGUUCAGUGCUUCGUCGAAGCUCCGGGUGUGCUGUGGCGCCGGCGGGCCGUACAACUACAACAUGACGGCGGCGUGCGGGUUUCCCGGCGUGAGCGCCUGCACUAACCCCGCGGCGCACAUCAACUGGGACGGCAUCCACCUGACGGAGCCGGCGUACGAGCGCAUCGCCGACGGUUGGCUCUGGGGCCCGUACGGGCACCCGCCCAUUCUCAAGGCCACGCGUCAGUAA